AGAGAAAGCACCCGAGUAGCUGAAG
rnacentral:misc_RNA from 1 species